rnacentral:rRNA from 1 species
UACGUAGGGUGCGAGCGUUAAUCGGAAUUACUGGGCGUAAAGCGUGCGCAGGCGGUUUUGUAAGCCAGAUGUGAAAGCCCCGGGCUUAACCUGGGAAUGGCAUUUGGGACUGCAAGGCUGGAGUGUGGCAGAGGAGACUGGAAUUCCUGGUGUAGCAGUGAAAUGCGUAGAUAUCAGGAGGAAUACCGAUGGCGAAGGUAGGUCUCUGGGCUGACACUGACGCUCAUGCACGGAAGCGUGGGGAGCAAACAGG